rnacentral:lncRNA from 1 species
CCUGGUCAAGCGCCUAGGCCCUUGGAUUUGUACUAGGUUGAGCGCCUAGGCGCUCAUGCCCGAUCAAAGUUGGAUUUUUCUACUUCUGAGUUGUUUUUGAAACCAAUUAUGAAUCUUGAUGAGGGCUGGGACCAAUAAAAAUAGGAGAAGACUUCAGGAAAGAGGUAUCACUCAAUUUAUCAAGGAUUUGUAGAGAGAACAAUGAAGGAGAACGCGAAGGAUAUUGCAUAGGCUAAAGAUCAAGUGGAGGAUUAGGAGCAAUCUGACAAGUUCUUAUAAUCUUUUCUCUAUUUCUUAUCUUUGUAAUUACCUGGG